rnacentral:rRNA from 1 species
CCUACGGGGGGCAGCAGUGGGGAAUAUUGCACAAUGGGGGAAACCCUGAUGCAGCGACGCCGCGUGAGUGAAGAAGUAGUUCGGUAUGUAAAGCUCUAUCAGCAGGGAAGAAAAUGACGGUACCUGAUUAAGAAGCCCCGGCUAACUACGUGCCAGCAGCCGCGGUAAUACGGAGGGGGCAAGCGUUAUCCGGAUUUACUGGGGGUAAAGGGAGCGUAGACGGCAGCACAAGUCUGGAGUGAAAUGCCGGGGCUUAACCCCGGAAAUGCCGUGGAAACUGGGCAGCUUGAGUGCAGGGGAGGCAAGUGGAAUGCCUGGUGUAGCGGUGAAAUGCGUAGAUAUUAGGAGGAACCCCAGUGGCGAAGGCGGCUUACUGGACUGUAACUGACGUUGAGGCUCGAAAGCGUGGGGAGCAAACAGGAUUAGAUACCCCUGUAGUC